UAGGAUUAACUCUUCUACACACUUCCUAGCCCUCUUAAACAACUAUAAAUAGGGGUCUUGUGCUCUCAUUUAAGUAAGCAAGCAAGCAAGCAAGAAGUGAGCUUGAGAGCUUGAGUGUGUAGUGUAGCCUUGUGUGAGUGUCCACCAAAAUAAAGGAAUUGUGUGAAAGUGAGCUUGAGAGCUUGAGUGUGUAGUGUAGCCUUGUGUGAGUGUCCACCAAAAUAAAGGAAUUGUGUGAAAGUGAGGUGUUCUUGUAAGAACAAGUGUUGUAUUCUCAAGUGUUCUAUCAAUAAAAGUUUCCUUUGUGUA